rnacentral:lncRNA from 1 species
GCAUUGUGGGCAGUGUGUGAGUAUCAUGUGGGCAGCGUGUGGUUGCAGCGGUGGGCAUCAUGUUGGGCACGGUGGGCAGCGUGUGGGCAGCGUGUGGGCAGCGUGUGAGCAUCAUGUGGGCAGCGUGUGAGCAUCAUGUGGGCAAGCAAUGUGAGUAUCAUGGGUGGGCAGCGUGUGGGCAGCGUGUGGGCAGCGUGUGGGAGCAGUGGGCACGUGUGGAGCAUGUGGGCAGCGUGUUCAUGUCGUAUGUAUGCUUGGCACAUGUUUACUCAAUGUAUGUGUGGUAUGUGUACUACUCACUAGGUGAUUUGCCAUGGAAGUAUUGUAGGAUUGUGAGACAUAUGUCAGAAUACUGAGUCUGUCGGGUAUUUCAGGGCCACCAUGUCCUCCAGCAUCUAACAGAGCCUGGGAUCCCCCAACUCAUCUCCGCUACCACGGAACGCCUGGGAAACACACAGACAGAAGGCUGGAACACACGAGAAUAGAAGGCUGGAACACACAGAGAGAUAGAAGGCUAGGAGCACACAGCAGAAGGCUGGAGCACACAGACAGAAGGCUGGAGCAACACAGAGCAGAUAGAAGGCUGGGAACACGACAGAAGGCUGGAGCACACAGAGAGAUAGAAGGCUGGAGCACAACAGACAGAAGGCUGAGCACACAGAGAGAUGAAGCUGGAACACACAGAGAUAUAGAAGGCUGGAACACACAGAUAGAUAGAAGGUGGAACACCAGAGAGAUAGAAAGGCUGGAACACACAGAGAGAUAGAAGCUGGGAACACACAAGGAUAGAAGGCUGGAACACACAGAAGAGAUAGAAGGCUGGAACACACAGAGAGAUAGAGGCUGGAACACACAGAUAGAUAGAAGGCUGGAACACACAGAAGUAAAGGCGGGAACACACAGAGAGAUAGAAGGCUGGAGCACACAGAAGAGAAGGCUGGAACACACGAGAGAUAGAAGGCUGGAGCACACAGAGAGAUAGAAGGCUGGAACACACAGAGAGAUAGAAGGCGGGAGACACAGCAGAGAGAUAAUAGGAUGGAGCACACAGAGAGAUAGAAGGCUGAGCACAUCAGAGAGACUAGAAGCUGAGAACACGAGAGAUAGAAGGCUGGAGCACACAGACAGACAGAAGGCUGGAACACCAGAUAGAUGAAAGGCUGGAGCCACAGAUAAUGAAGGCUGGAACACACAGAGAGAUAGAAGGCUGGAACACAGAGAGGAUAGAAGGCUGGAGCACACAGAGAGAUGAAGGAAGGCUGGAGCACACAAGAGAUAGAAGGCUGGCCACACACAGAGAGAUAGAAGGGCUGGAGCACACAGAGAGGAGAGAAGGCUGGAACACACAGAGAGAUAGAAGGCUGGAACACACAGAUAGAUAGAAGGCUGGAGCACACAGAGAUAGAAGGCUGGAACACACAGAGAUGGAGCACACAGAGAUAGAAGGCUGAGCACACAGAGAUGAGCUGGAACACACAGAGAGAUAGAGGUGGAGCACACAGAGAUAGAAGGCUGGAACGCACAGAGACUAGAAGGCUGGGAACACACGACAGAGGCCUGGGAACACACAGAGAGAUAGAAGGCUGGAACACACAGAGAGAUAGAAGGCUGGAGCACACAAGAGAUAGAAGGUGAACACCAGAGAGUAGAAGGCUGGAGCAACAGAGAUAGAUAGAAGGGCUGGAACACACAGAGAGAUGAAGGCUUGAGCACACAGACAGAAGGCUGGAGCACACAGACAGAAGGCUGUAACAACUGGGACACAGAACAAUAAGGCAGACAAAGCGUCUUCCCCCUCGCAGGCUGAAAAUAUUUGGCAUGAGUCCCCAGAUCCUCCAAAAGUUCUACAGUUGCACAGUUGAGCGCAUCUUGACUGGCUGGAUCACCGCUUGGUACGGACUUCACUCGGCCUCGCCGCAAGGCGCUACAGAGGGUAGUGCGUACGGCCCAGUACAUACACUGGGGCCAAGCUUCCUGCAUCAGGACCUCUAUACCAGACGGUGUCAGAGGAAGGCCCUAAAAAUUGUCAGACUAAGCCACCCGUCAUAGACUGUUCUCUCACUCUGCUACUGCACGGCAAGUGUACCGAUGCACCAAGUCUGGAACCAACAGGACCCUGACCAGCUUCUUCCCAAGCCGUAAUGACUGAUAAAUAGUUUAGCCAGCAGCUACCCAGACUUUCUACAUAGGACCCCCCUUACCUCGUACCCUACACACUGACUCAAUACUGGGUACCCCCGUGUAUAGAGCCAAUUAUCUUACCCAGUGUGUGUAUAGAGCCAAGUUAUCGUUACCACAGUGUGUGUAUAGAGCCAAGUUAUCGUUACCCGUGUGUUGUAGAGAGCCAAGUUAUCGUACCCCAGUGUGUGUAUAGAGCCAAGUGUAUCGUUACCCAGUGGUGUGUAUAGAGCCAAGUUAUCGUUACCACAGUGUGUAAGAGCCAAGUUAUCAUUACUCAGUGUGUGUAUAAGCCAAGUUACGUUACCCAGUGUGUAAUAAGAGCCAAGGUUUAUCGUUACCCAGUGUGUGUAUAGAGCAAGUUAUCGUUACUCAGGUGUGUGUAUAGAGCCAAGUGUUAUCGGUUACCCAGUGUGUGGUAUAGAGCCAAGUUAUCGUUACCCAGUGUGGUGUAUAGAGCCAAGUUUAUCGUUACCACCAGUGUGUGUAUAGAGCAAGUUAUCAUUACUCAGUGUGUGUAUAGAGCCAAGUUAUCGUUACUCAGUGUGUGUAUAGAGCCAGUGUGCGUGUAUACCGUUUCUACCAGUGUGUGUAUAGAGCCAAGUUACAUUACUCAGUGUGUGUAUAGAGCCAAGUUAUCGUUACCCAUGUGGUGUAAUAGAGCCAAGUUAUCAUUACUCAUGUGUGUAUAGAGCCAAGUAUCGUUACCAGUGGUGUAUA